GUCUAUGGUCAUGCUACCCUGAAUAAACUAGAUCCUGUCUGAUCUCAGAAGCUAAGCACGAUCGAGCCUGGUUAGUACUUGGAUGGGAGACCACCUAGGAAGACCGGGUGCUGUAGACA
rnacentral:rRNA from 1 species